rnacentral:rRNA from 1 species
CCUACGGGAGGCAGCAGUGAGGAAUAUUGGUCAAUGGGCGCGAGCCUGAACCAGCCAAGUCGCGUGAGGGAUGAAGGUUCUAUGGAUCGUAAACCUCUUUUAUAAGGGAAUAAAGUGUGGGACGUGUCCUAUUUUGUAUGUACCUUAUGAAUAAGGAUCGGCUAACUCCGUGCCAGCCGCCGCGGUAAAACGGAGAAUCCGAGCGUUAUCCGGAUUUAUUGGGGUUAAAGGGUGCGUAGGCGGCCUUUUAAGUCAGCGGGGAAAGUCUGUGGCUCAACCAUAGAAUUGCCGUGUAAACUGGGUGGCUUGAGUAUGUUUGAGGCAGGCGGAAUGCGUGGUGUAGCGGUGAAAUGCUUAGAUAUCACGCAGAACCCCGAUUGCGAAGGCAGCCUGCCAAGCCAUGACUGACGCUGAUGCACGAAAGCGUGGGGAUCAAACAGGAUUAGAUACCCGUGUAGUC